CGUGUCGGGCCUGCCUGCAGCGAAGUAUCUUAAAAAGUAAAGUAAGCCUGGCGUGGCGGCUCAGGCCUGCAAGUCCAGUGAUUGGGUCUCGGAGGCAGGAGAGGACUUGCCCCGAGUUCAAGGCCAGCCCGAGCUUCAUAAUUGGAAAUCAAAGCAAAAGAGGAGCCCACGUGCUUCCCCUGGACCUGUCCUAUGUCAUCGUCCUUAUGGCUCCAUUUCAGAGGCCAGGAAACUGAGGCAGGCACAGAUGAAGUUCAAACCUGCGCCACCCUGCUGCGGCAAAGAUCAAGCCCAUCUGACCCUAUGGUCCUGGUUCAACUCUACUACCCAAGUGGCCUCCUGUGCCCCUCUCUAGUCUGGUUCCUACUCCCCCCACCCAAAAAAAAAUCCAAGUGUUCCCUAGGCAGGCGAGAAGAUGGAACCGUGGCGUGGCUGGCCCUCAUCGACUGUGAAGAGGUCAAAGAGAUGCUUCUGGGCUCCAAGCUUGUUUUCUCCUACGCCACGUGGGGAUAAAAAUAAUCCAGUAUCCACCUUGUGGGGGUAGGCAGGGAAGUGUGAAAAGUUGGCACAAUGCCUGGCACAUGGCAGGUCCUCAGACACCAGCUUUGCUUAUUUUUAUCGCUAACACCCUACUUGGGGGCCCCAGGCUGGCAUGGGACUUGUCAAGUGUCACCCUCUUCCUUUCCCACAGCUGGGCCAACGGCCUGGGUGGAGGCUCGAAGGGAGGAAGAGCAGAAGGGUAGGGGAAGCCAUGCUGUAGGCUUGUUGCCUCUGAGAACCCCUAAACCUGCCCCCUAGCUCCUCCCCUCCCCAGCCAUAGGUAACCUGCUCCAGGCUCAGUACAGUUAUUGAUGGAGUUGAGGGCCACAAGGGUACCUCAGGGCACACACACACCCCUGCCCAGUGCUUACUGAGGGGAGCCUCCCCCAGGGAGCACGGGAAUGGUGGCAAGAACCCGAAAGUGGCUUGCAUGAUGGAUGGGCUAGUGGAUAGAUGGAUGGAUGGGCUCGGAGACAGAUGGAUGGAUGGAUGGUGGACAGACAAACAGAUGAGAAGCCAGGAGGUGACUACCUGGCAGCGCAGGACUGUCAGAGAGUUGAUGGAUGGGACACAGGGAGAGCUGAGAGAGAUGGGGCCCAGCAGGGAAGAAGGAAGGAAGGAAGGAUGGAUGGAUAGACAUACAGACAGACAGAUUGACAGAUGAGGGAAACAGACCGGAGGGUGUGGGAUGGGUGAGUGGGGAUCUGGAUGAGUGAUGAGAGGCCCUGCUGAGGAAGGGAGAGGGGUCUGGCUGGGGUGGGUGUGGCCGGAAGAAGGACCAGACCCAGUGACGAAAGACUUCCCUUCUGGGACGCUUGCAGAUAGAUGGAUUCACACCUCACACCAGAUGAAUGGGCCGAGGUUCCCCUGAGACUGACUGGCAGAGAAAGACAGACAGAUGGAGGGAAAUGGGACGGGAAGGGGGAACAGGGACAGGGGAGGAGUCCAGGGCCCUGACCCAGGUUGGUAUGUAGGGAACCCUAUCGAACUAGGCGUUAAGAAAGCAUGCAUUUUAGGGUAGUAUCCCUUGCACACGCGGAAGUGGGUGUGUGGGCGUGUGUGUCUGCUCUGGCAGGGUACUGGGCACUUCUCAGCAUGAGUGUGAACUUGUGAGGGCGUAAGCUUGCUGGUGAGUAUAGGAACUAGGGGCCUGGAGGGUGGGGGCCCUCUCCUCCUCUCAAGGCUGGGGUAGGAUAGGAACCUGGGAGUCAGCUUGCUUGAGGACCCGGUGUGUUUGGAAACUUGGAACCUCCUGGGGUAGUGCAAAUGGCUGGUUUACUGUGUGUACUUCCUGUGUGUUGUCUGGGUUUCUCACCAGGUCCAUCAAAGGCCUCUUCAGAAUGACACACAUAAUGGAGUGUGAUGGCUCACACCUGGAAUCCCAGAUGUUGAAACAGGAGGAUUGCUGUGCCUCCUUUGACGUAAGGUUUAUGGCCCCGCUGCGUCGGCGCCCCGCGGAGAGGAACCAGCUCUGAGCCUCGUAAAGGGGGUCGAGGCCUGAAGAGCCUCAGCCUCCGUCGCCUUGGAAACGGGGCGCAUCCUCCGCCGAGGGAGAGGCGGCUGAGACCGGCCUGGGGUCACCGGACGCUCCCGCUGAGCGCUCUGCAUAUCUCCACCAUCUCCUGCGGGUGGUCCCCGCCCCCCCUGCCGCCCUCCUCCGCCCCUCUCCCCAAGCGCCUUUGAGAGUCACCUCCUCCAGGAAGCCUACAGACACUGCCACCUGCAAGGGGCUGGGGGGGGGGGGGACUGGCGCAUUCUAGCAAUGCUCACCAGUAGUCACAGCUGGCGCUGUGAAUCUUGACCUCAAGCGUAGCCCCAGGAUGCUCUUUGCAACUGUUAUCCUUUGUCCUCAUACCAAUUCCUCGAAUAAACCAAAGACCAGCUA